UAAUCAGUAUAAUAAAAAAAGAACCUAAAUCUAUAUCCUCGAAAGUAGCUAGAUUAGUAAAAAGUGAGUCUAGCGGGGAAAUACACCCCCAUAACAGUUCGAAGGACACUUAAAACUGCUGGAUAUGAAUCGCAAGAGUUGCAAGACGAAAACAUGCAUUGCGAAAUUAAAAAAAAAGGAUUGGAAUUCACUAUUAGUUAUGUACACGAAAAUACUGCGUUCUAAGAUAAAUGUUAUUUGGCAAAAACCAAAUACUGAAUUGAUGAAAGAAAGAUUGUCCAAACUGUCAAACCC
rnacentral:misc_RNA from 1 species